rnacentral:rRNA from 1 species
CGGGAAAAGGCAAGAUCGUGAGAUGGAGCAAAUACCCACGAAAUAAACGUCCCACGUUCGGAUUGUAGUCUGCAACCCGGCCUACAUGAAGCUGGAAUCGCUAGUAAUCGCGGAUCAGAAUGCCGCGGUGAAUACGUUCCCGGGUCUUGUACACACCGCCCGUCACACCAUGGGAGCCGGAAAUGCCCGAAGUCAGUGACCCAACCGCAAGGAGGGAGCUGCCGAAGGUGGAGCUGGUAACUGGGGUGAAGUCGUAACAAGGUAAC